UGAAUGCUUGUUGUUAUCUUUUCCAGAGAAGAUUUGCCUUUGUUUUCACUAGCAGCUCCUAGCAAACCUGGAUUAUCUCAAUCCAGUUUCAGGAAUGAAGAGGAUGUGAAGUUGAGCUGCAGCUCUUUUUGAAGACUGGCCAAUUGGGAUUCAUUUCCCUUAAGGUUCAUCCCCUUGGAGUACCAGCCUAAAGUCAGUGGAGUCAACAGGGCUCUUCUCAGAGGGCCCAUGACUUUCUCUAUAUGAAAUUGUCACAAAAUCCUUAGCACCUCACCGCCUAGGUAAAAGCAGCCUCAAAUGCUGGACUCAUAGUCAUGGAUUUCUAUUUCCAUCAGCUCCUGACCAGGCUCCAGCUUCAAAGGUUCCCAUUUGUUCUGGCUUUCACCACUUCAUAGACACCCUGAUUCUCAACCUCCUGCCUCCUGUGUCACUUCAUAGGCAUCAUGAUUCUCCACCAUCAAGCCCAGAAGAAAAUGGUUUAGCCAUUCUCCACAACUAUGUAAGGUGAGGCACAUUCAUAAUAUAUUAGUGUAUAUUUCAUAGAGGUUGUGUUUCUCUGAUCAAACUCUGACUGAAAUAUAGAGUGAGGUUAUUACAGCGGGGCAAAAAUUGGGAUGACAAAGAAAGCAUCUUUCAUUUCAGAGAAGGAAGACAAAGCCUUUGACUAAGCUACCGUUGCUGCAAUGUUCACUGAAAUGUUUAACAGAAGUUAAAUCUGCCAUAUUUAAGAACUCAAGGUAUAUACUGAGUAUGAAACAAUUUACUAACAAACUAUUUUCUGAAGGUUCAGUAUCUCCAUAUAGCUUUAUCCUAUUUUUGAAGUUAUUAGUUACUCAAUUUUAAAUAAUACACAAUAGUUGAGUGACCACUGUAUAUUUAUGACUAACAUUUCAAAUGUAUUCACUGGUUGACAUUAUCUAGGUGCAAUAUCAUUCUUAGUACUAAUUGUCAACCUUUAAAGCAUUUCUUGGUGUAUCACUUUGGGGCAAAUUUGCAUGUGUGGCCUGAUUUAUCUUCUCAAAACAAUUCUGAGAAAUCAGAAAAGAGCCAACAAGUAAUUGGGGUUUGGAAAGUAAAAAGGAAACAAACAUUUCUAGAGCCCAUUCUAUCACAUUUGUACUAAUAACUUCAGCUAAUUCUCAUAAACCCUUUAUGGUUGGACUUAUUAUUUUUAUUUUAGAAUUAAGAAAAUUGAGACUCAAAGAAUGAAAGU
rnacentral:lncRNA from 1 species